rnacentral:piRNA from 1 species
GGAGACGGAGGCAGAAAGAUAGCACAUU